UACGAAGGGGGCUAGCGUUGCUCGGAAUCACUGGGCGUAAAGGGUGCGUAGGCGGGUCUUUAAGUCAGGGGUGAAAUCCUGGAGCUCAACUCCAGAACUGCCUUUGAUACUGAGGAUCUUGAGUUCGGGAGAGGUGAGUGGAACUGCGAGUGUAGAGGUGAAAUGCGUAGAUAUCGGGAGGAACACCAGUGGCGAAGGCGACUACCUGGCCUGUUCUUGACGCUGAGGCGCGAAAGCUAGGGGAGCAAACGGG
rnacentral:rRNA from 1 species